rnacentral:rRNA from 1 species
AUCUGGGCGGCGGAAUUCAGGAUGACGAGGGCGUCUUUGCGGCGUUUUCGUCGUUUGAUAUUUCCGUCGCCGAUCACACUCAGACGUCGCGACCUGUUCGCGGUCGGUCCCUGCUCCGGAAGAGCCGCGUUCGAGUUCGUUGCGAACGCGUUUCGGCGCGUUUCACGGCGAAGACGCGGAUCUCUGGCUGGCCGUCGGACAGUACGCAUAACGGUGUCCGGUGUCGUCGUAUUCGUACGCGCGCGCACCGGUACCGGUCAGCGACGAAUUCUUCGGGCCUCUUUCCGACCCGUCUUGAAACACGGACCAAGGAGUCUAACAUGCGCGCGAGUCGCGGGGUGUCGAGCGUACCUCGGUGCGUUCGUUAUGUUGCGAAACCCGUACAUGUCGAAGGCGUAAUGAAAGUGAAUGGGGAAGAUGGUGUUCCGAGUACACGUUCCGCGGUCGUCGGUAUCGCGGCCGGACACCCGCAUUCCCGGGGCGUCUCAACGGCCCGUCGCGGAUGUCGAUCGUCGUCUCUCGGGGCGGCGCUCAGUCUGCGACGAACCGA